AAUCUCAUUGACCGGAAGGGAUUCCUUCCGGUUGAUGAGAUUGUUACAUCUCAUUGACCGGAAGGAAUCCCUUCCGGUUGAUGAGAUU
rnacentral:miRNA from 2 species